GGCAUGAUACACUGGUUGAAUGUAGAGUAGAUCAUUAGCAUGCAGGCAGCUGCCUGCCCUGUAGCAGGCAGAGGAACUGUACUGUGUAACAAAGCUCAUCUUCAUCUAAGUAUUUAUUGCAAAAUAUGGGUCUACAUUUAUAGGACAACAAAUUCCCCUGAUAUUUUGGCUUCAGACUAUAUAAUACCUGCAGAGAUGAGUCGUGUGAAAUUCUAGCAUGCCAGUAUGGUCCAAGGUCACCCUGGGUUCAGGUGUCAGUAAGAGGAUCUACUUGACGAAAUCUCCAAGGCAAGAACCUCCCAAGGAAUCUUGACUUCUCGAGGCUACAGACAAAUCUGUGCAAAGUAGCAUGGAGAGAGCCAACCACUUCAGGUGCUCUUGCCUGGGAGUGCUUGUACUGCGGAGUCUGGAGAGUUGUUCCCGGGCAGCAGAACCAUGCUGAGGCUUGAGGGAGUACUCUGGCCACUGACUACUGGGACAGGGAGAACGAAGAGAAGCUUAUUGCGCAGAAGAAAUUGGACCCAGAAGAGGAGCAGAGGGAGCCGCUGGACCCAGGGGGCAGGCACGGCGCUGGAGCCAGGCUGGCCCAGGCCGGGAUGUGCAGCAGAGCACAGAAGAAAUUCCAGAGAGUGAGAGAAGAGCUGCCCGGGGGCUUUUCAGCUGGCCUUGCCCCCUCCCCCACCAUGGCAGGGGAGAGGCGGUGGCAGGCUGGUUGAACCUCCAACUGAGUGGGUCAGGCUCCUGCAGCA